AAAGACUUAGUCCUAACCUUACUGUUGGUUGUUGCUAGAGAUAUACAUGCAAGUAUCCGCACGCCAGUGUAGAUGCCCUAGGCACUCUAAUCUUAGGUCAAUAGGAGCGGGUAUAAGGCACACCCCUUAACUGUAGCCCAAAAUGCCUAGCAAUUGCCACACCCCCACGGGUAUUCAGCAGUAGUUAACAUUAAGCAAUGAGUGUAAACUUGACUUAGUCAUAGCAACUUUAGGGUCGGUAAAUCCUGUGCCAGCCACCGCGGUCAGACAGGAGACCCAAACUAACAUUAUAAUAGCGUAAAGAGUGGUAACAUGCUAUCCAAGUAACUAAGAUUAAAAAGCGUCUAUGUUGUCACAGGCCCAAGGCGCCCAUAAGGCCUCUAUUCAAAGAAAAUCUUAGACUAACGAUCAAUUGAAGUCCACGAAAGCCAGGGCCCAAACUGGGAUUAGAUACCCCACUAUGCCUGGCCCUAAAUCUUGGUGCUUGAUCUUACUGGAGCAUCUGCCCGAGAACUACGAGCAUAAAUGCUUAAAACUCUAAGGACUUGGCGGUGCUCCAAACCCGCCUAGAGGAGCCUGUUCUGUAAUCGAUCAUCCACGAUAUACCUUACCAUUUCUUGCUCAAUAACAGCCUAUAUACCGCUGUCGCCAGCCCGCCCCCCAUGAAGGUUCAACAGUGGAUGCAAUAGCCUCACCACGCUAAUAAGACAGGUCAAGGUAUAGCCUAUGGAAUGGGAGCAAUGGGCUACAUUUUCUAGACUAGAACAUAACGGCAAAGGUGCAUGAAACUACUCCUAGAAAGUGGAUUUAGCAGUAAAGUGGGACAAGCAAUCCCUCUUUAAGCCGGCUCUGGAGCACGUACAUACUGCCCGUCACCCUCCUCAAAAGCGACCCCCCACCCCCUCCAUAACUUAAUCAGCUACUCAGCCAAAGAGGAGGUAAGUCGUAACAAGGUAAGUGUACCGGAAGGUGCACUUAGGACAC
rnacentral:ncRNA from 1 species